rnacentral:rRNA from 1 species
CGUACACUCCUGCGGGAGGCAGCAGUGGGGAAUAUUGGACAAUGGGCGCAAGCCUGAUCCAGCCAUGCCGCGUGAGUGAUGAAGGCCCUAGGGUUGUAAAGCUCUUUCACCGGUGAAGAUAAUGACGGUAACCGGAGAAGAAGCCCCGGCUAACUUCGUGCCAGCAGCCGCGGUAAUACGAAGGGGGCUAGCGUUGUUCGGAUUUACUGGGCGUAAAGCGCACGUAGGCGGACUAUUAAGUCAGGGGUGAAAUCCCGGGGCUCAACCCCAGAACUGCCUUUGAUACUGGUAGUCUUGAGUUCGAGAGAGGUGAGUGGAAUUCCGAGUGUAGAGGUGAAAUUCGUAGAUAUUCGGAGGAACACCAGUGGCGAAGGCGGCUCACUGGCUCGAUACUGACGCUGAGGUGCGAAAGCGUGGGGAGCAAACAGGAUUAGAUACCCCAGUAGUCC